CAACUACUCCCUCUGUCCCAAAUUUCUUGUCUUAGAUCUGCCUAGAUACGGAUGUAUCUAAUACUAAAAUGUGACUUGAUACAUCCGUAUUAGGACAAAUCUAAGACAAGAAUUUUGGGACAGAGGGAGUACUUU
rfam:Triticum urartu cultivar G1812 contig44544, whole genome shotgun sequence.